rnacentral:rRNA from 1 species
GAUGAACGCUGGCGGCGUGCUUAACACAUGCAAGUCGAACGAUGAAAGAGGAGCUUGCCCCUCUGGAUUAGUGGCGCACGGGUGAGUAACACGUGAGCAAUCUGCCCCUAACUCCGGAAUAACUACGGGAAACUGUAGCUAAUACCGGAUAUGCGCCGAACAGGCAUCUGGAUCGGUGGUAAAAAAUUUCCGUCAGGGAUCUUCUCGCUGCCUAUCGGCUUGUUGGGGAGGUAACGGUUCACCAAGGCUACGAAGGCUAGCCCGCCUUGGAGGGUGACCACGGACAUGAGGACUGCGAGACGGCGCAGAACCCUACGGUAGGCAACAGGGGGGAAUAUUGCACAAUGAGCGCAAGCCUGAUGCAGAGACGCCGCGUGAGGGAUGACGGCCUUCGGGUGAUAAACCUCUUUUAGCAGAGAAGUAGCGAAAGUGACGGUACCUACAGAAAAAGCGCCGGCUAACUACGUG